rnacentral:rRNA from 2 species
GACAGAGGGUGCAAACGUUGCUCGGAAUUACUGGGCGUAAAGCGCGUGUAGGCGGACCGGAAAGUCGGGCGUGAAAUCCCUGGGCUCAACCCAGGAACUGCACUCGAAACUUCCGGCCUUGAGUGGUGGAGAGGGUAGUGGAAUUCCUGGUGUAGAGGUGAAAUUCGUAGAUAUCAGGAGGAACACCGGUGGCGAAGGCGGCUACCUGGACACCAACUGACGCUGAGACGCGAAAGCGUGGGGAGCAAACAGG